rnacentral:rRNA from 1 species
AUUGAACGCUAGCGGGAUGCCUUACACAUGCAAGUCGAACGGCAGCGCGGACUUCGGUCUGGCGGCGAGUGGCGAACGGGUGAGUAAUGUAUCGGAACGUGCCCAGUAGCGGGGGACAACCACUCGAAAGAGUGGCUAAUACCGCAUACGCCCUACGGGGGAAAGGGGGGGAUCGCAAGACCUCUCACUAUUGGAGCGGCCGAUAUCGGAUUAGCUAGUUGGUGGGGUAAAGGCCUACCAAGGCGACGAUCCGUAGCUGGUUUGAGAGGACGACCAGCCACACUGGGACUGAGACACGGCCCAGACUCCUACGGGAGGCAGCAGUGGGGAAUUUUGGACAAUGGGGGAAACCCUGAUCCAGCCAUUCCGCGUGUGCGAUGAAGGCCUUCGGGUUGUAAAGCACUUUUGGCAGGAAAGAAAUCGUGUGGGUUAAUACCCUGCGCGGAUGACGGUACCUGCAGAAUAAGCACCGGCUAACUACGUG